rnacentral:rRNA from 1 species
AACGAACGCUGGCGGCAGGCCUAACACAUGCAAGUCGAACGCACCGCAAGGUGAGUGGCGCACGGGUGAGUAACACGUGGGAAUGUAUCCUUUGGUUCGGAAUAACGUCUGGAAACGGACGCUAAUACCGGAUGAGCCCUUAGGGGGAAAGAUUUAUCGCCAAAUGAGCAGCACGCGUCUGGUUAGGUAGUUGGUGGGGUAAAGGCGUACCAAGCCGACGAUCAGUAGCUGGUCUGAGAGGAUGAUCAGCCACACUGGGACUGAGACACGGCCCAGACUCGUGCGGGAGGCAGCAGUGGGGAAUAUUGGACAAUGGGCGCAAGCCUGAUCCAGCCAUGCCGCGUGAGUGAUGAAGGCCUUCGGGUUGUAAAGCUCUUUCGCACACGACGAUGAUGACGGUAGUGUGAGAAGAAGCCCCGGCUAACUUCGUGCCAGCAGCCGCCGUAAGAC